AGGUUUGCUGGGAAGACGAGAGUAGAAAAAGUCCCACAAGAAGCCAUUCCUGUAUAGCUCUAAGCCCAUAUUCCACCCCUACACUAGCCUUCUUCCCAUCCUUCAAGUGAGAAGAGCUGCUGUAGCAAAGCUAAACUAAGAAGGAAAAGAAAUACCUUCAUGUUUAUAACACUCAGGUCAUGCCGCUGUUAAUCGCUGUGAGGCGUCUUUUAGUGGGUGCACUGGAUUCCACUCUCCUUUAUAUGCGGACCGUUUGCCUUAGGCUCAUCCCAGCAAACCUAGGGCAUAUCGGUAAACUGUUGACGCAGAGCAGAGUUGUUCCUACCUGGUGAUUUCUUCCACUUCUAUUGAGCAAAUUUGUCCUCAUCUUUAAAAGAGUCGACCUCCUCAGUUUGCAAGUGUUACUAUACAAAACUGAGCCAGGAAGAUAAAGAAAAUUUAAGCCGCAACAUUUACAGUCGACUAAACAAAGGUUUUUGUUUGGAAAAGACCUUUGUGUUUGGAAAGAGCACAAAAGCAAUUUAUACUGAGCAAAGAAAAUGAUAAAAGGAGCUUUGGUUUUUGGGUUUUUUUGGUCUUUUUUCAUGAAUCAGGCCUCUGGGGACUAUAUUUGAUUGGUGCUUUCUAAACAAAUGCAAAUAAUUUUUAUCAACCCAGUUGUCACUUCAUAGCCUUGAUGUGUAGUAUCUUUUUAUAGGCUGCAAUUUUGAGACACAAUCUGCAUCCUACUCUCAAUUAGGCAAGUAUACCUACUGUAAUUGUUACCUUCUGCCUGUGUGACUGCUAUGCUCAAUUUCCUUUGCAAAAUAAAUGGUGGCUUUUGUCAUG
rnacentral:lncRNA from 1 species